GAUGAACGCUGGCGGCGUGCCUAAUACAUGCAAGUCGAGCGAACAGACGAGGAGCUUGCUCCUCUGACGUUAGCGGCGGACGGGUGAGUAACACGUGGAUAACCUACCUAUAAGACUGGGAUAACUUCGGGAAACCGGAGCUAAUACCGGAUAAUAUAUUGAACCGCAUGGUUCAAUAGUGAAAGACGGUUUUGCUGUCACUUAUAGAUGGAUCCGCGCCGCAUUAGCUAGUUGGUACGGUAACGGCUUACCAAGGCAACGAUGCGUAGCCGACGUGAGAGGGGGAUCGGCCACACUGGAACUGAGACACGGUCCAGACGCCUACGGGAGGCAGCAGUAGGGAAUCUUCCGCAAUGGGCGAAAGCCUGACGGAGCAACGCCGCGUGAGUGAUGAAGGUCUUCGGAUCGUAAAACUCUGUUAUUAGGGAAGAACAAAUGUGUAAGUAACUAUGCACGUCUUGACGGUACCUAAUCAGAAAGCCACGGCUAACUACGUG
rnacentral:rRNA from 1 species